rnacentral:rRNA from 1 species
AGCGGAGGAAAAGAAACCAACAGGGAUUGCCUUAGUAGCGGCGAGUGAAGCGGCAAUAGCUCAAAUUUGAAAUCUGGCGCCUUCGGUGUCCGAGUUGUAAUUUGAAGAAGGUAUCUUUGGUUUUGGCUCUUGUCUAUGUUCCUUGGAACAGGACGUCACAGAGGGUGAGAAUCCCGUGCGAUGAGAUGCCCAAUUCCAUGUAAAGUUCCUUCGACGAGUCGAGUUGUUUGGGAAUGCAGCUCUAAGUGGGUGGUAAAUUCCAUCUAAAGCUAAAUAUUGGCGAGAGACCGAUAGCGAACAAGUACUGUGAAGGAAAGAUGAAAAGAACUUUGAAAAGAGAGUGAAAAAGUACGUGAAAUUGUUGAAAGGGAAGGGCUUGAGAUCAGACUUGGAAUUUUCCAGUAAUGGAGCUUUCCGGGCCAGCAUCAGUUUGGACGGCAGGAUAAUUGCGUAGGAAAGUAGCACCGCUUCGGGGGUGUAUUAUAGCCUGCGUCGAUACUGCCUGUCUAGACUGAGGACUGCGUCUUUGACUAGGAUGCUGGCAUAAUGAUCUUAAGCCG